AACCAAAACAGGCACCAAGAGGAGACAUCAUGAGCAGGAAAGUGAUUUUUCUCUGCAGGGUGCGGCACAUCUCUUUCACUCCAGGUGUGCUGAUACUUAGGAUUUCCCCAAAUGCUGGAAACUCCGUUGCAUCAUUCGUGGUAGUAGGGCACUUAAACAAGCACAUAAAAAAUAAACUUUAUUUUCCUG
rnacentral:snRNA from 12 species